rnacentral:rRNA from 1 species
UGACGGUACCCUACUAGAAAGGAGCCGCUAACUUCGUGCCAGAAGCGUCGGUAAUACGGGGGCUCCAAGCGUUAUCCGGUGUUAUUGGGCGUAAAGAGUCGUGUAGGUGGUUGGGUAAGUUAUCUUUCAAAUAUCUUUGCUUAACAAAGAGGAGGGGGAUAAUACUGCUCGACUAGAAUUUUCUCAAGGGAGAUCGGAACUGAGGGAGGAGUAGUGAAAUGCGUUGAUACCCUCGGGAACACCAGUGGCGUAGGCGGAUCUCUGGGAGAAGAUUGACACUGAGACACGAAAGCUAGGGGAGCGAAGCAGAUUAGAGACCUGCGUAGUCCUAGCCGUAAACGCAUGCUUGCUAGCUGCAUGAAUCUACCUUCGGGUGGUAUCGUGUGGCGAAGGUAACCCGUUAAGCAAGCCGCCUGGAAAGUACGGCCGCAAGGCUGAAAUCCAAAGGAAUUGGCGGGGAGGCACACAACCAGUGGAACAUGUGGUUUAAUUCGAGACUAACCGAAGAACCUCACCAGGGUUUGACAUGUAGCUGCACGUCUUAAGAAAUUAAGACUCUCUUGAAGGUGCUACACAGGUGCUGCAUGGCUGUCGUCAGCUCGUUCCGUGAGGAGUGCCCUUAAGUGGGACAACGAGCGCAACCCCUAUUACAUGUUAGAAAUGUCAUGUAAGACUGCCUUGCCAUUUGGCGGGGAGGAAGGAGGGGCAGACGUCAAGUCCGCAUGGUCCUUAUGCCCUGGGCUACACACAUGUUACAAUGAGUACGGCAAUGAGUCUGUCGCGAGCACGUAAGUGUAAGCUAAUCUCUUAAAUGUACUCUCAGUGGGGAUUGAGGUCUGCAACUCGACCUCAUGAACACGGAAUUGGUAGUAAUCGCGGGUCAGCUAUACCGCGGUGAAUACGUUCUUGCCUCUUGCACACACCGCCCGUCAAACCAGCAAAGUCGAUUGUAUCCGAACCU